rnacentral:rRNA from 1 species
UAAGUAAGCUUUGAUCCAGAGAUUUCCGAAUGGGGAAACCCAGCAUGAGUUAUGUCAUGUUAUCGAUAUGUGAAUACAUAGCAUAUCAGAAGGCACACCCGGAGAACUGAAACAUCUUAGUACCCGGAGGAAGAGAAAGAAAAUUCGAUUCCCUUAGUAGCGGCGAGCGAAACGGGAAGAGCCCAAACCAACAAGCUUGCUUGUUGGGGUUGUAGGACACUCUAUACGGAGUUACAAAGGACGACAUUAGACGAAUCAUCUGGAAAGAUGAAUCAAAGAAGGUAAUAAUCCUGUAGUCGAAAAUGUUGUCUCUCUUGAGUGGAUCCUGAGUACGACGGAGCACGUGAAAUUCCGUCGGAAUCUGGGAGGACCAUCUCCUAAGGCUAAAUACUCUCUAGUGACCGAUAGUGAACCAGUACCGUGAGGGAAAGGUGAAAAGCACCCCGGAAGGGGAGUGAAAUAGAACCUGAAACCGUGUGCUUACAAGUAGUCAGAGCCCGUUAAUGGGUGAUGGCGUGCCUUUUGUAGAAUGAACCGGCGAGUUACGAUUUGAUGCAAGGUUAAGCAGUAAAUGUGGAGCCGUAGCGAAAGCGAGUCUGAAUAGGGCGUUUAGUAUUUGGUCGUAGACCCGAAACCAGGUGAUCUACCCUUGGUCAGGUUGAAGUUCAGGUAACACUGAAUGGAGGACCGAACCGACUUACGUUGAAAAGUGAGCGGAUGAACUGAGGGUAGCGGAGAAAUUCCAAUCGAACCUGGAGAUAGCUGGUUCUCUCCGAAAUAGCUUUAGGGCUAGCCUCAAGUGAUGAUUAUUGGAGGUAGAGCACUGUUUGGACGAGGGGCCCCUCUCGGGUUACCGAAUUCAGACAAACUCCGAAUGCCAAUUAAUUUAACUUGGGAGUCAGAACAUGGGUGAUAAGGUCCGUGUUCGAAAGGGAAACAGCCCAGACCACCAGCUAAGGUCCCAAAAUAUAUGUUAAGUGGAAAAGGAUGUGGCGUUGCCCAGACAACUAGGAUGUUGGCUUAGAAGCAGCCAUCAUUUAAAGAGUGCGUAAUAGCUCACUAGUCGAGUGACACUGCGCCGAAAAUGUACCGGGGCUAAACAUAUUACCGAAGCUGUGGAUUGUCCUUUGGACAAUGGUAGGAGAGCGUUCUAAGGGCGUUGAAGCAUGAUCGCAAGGACAUGUGGAGCGCUUAGAAGUGAGAAUGCCGGUGUGAGUAGCGAAAGACGGGUGAGAAUCCCGUCCACCGAUUGACUAAGGUUUCCAGAGGAAGGCUCGUCCGCUCUGGGUUAGUCGGGUCCUAAGCUGAGGCCGACAGGCGUAGGCGAUGGAUAACAGGUUGAUAUUCCUGUACCACCUAUAAUCGUUUUAAUCGAUGGGGGGACGCAGUAGGAUAGGCGAAGCGUGCGAUUGGAUUGCACGUCUAAGCAGUAAGGCUGAGUAUUAGGCAAAUCCGGUACUCGUUAAGGCUGAGCUGUGAUGGGGAGAAGACAUUGUGUCUUCGAGUCGUUGAUUUCACACUGCCGAGAAAAGCCUCUAGAUAGAAAAUAGGUGCCCGUACCGCAAACCGACACAGGUAGUCAAGAUGAGAAUUCUAAGGUGAGCGAGCGAACUCUCGUUAAGGAACUCGGCAAAAUGACCCCGUAACUUCGGGAGAAGGGGUGCUCUUUAGGGUUAACGCCCAGAAGAGCCGCAGUGAAUAGGCCCAAGCGACUGUUUAUCAAAAACACAGGUCUCUGCUAAACCGUAAGGUGAUGUAUAGGGGCUGACGCCUGCCCGGUGCUGGAAGGUUAAGAGGAGUGGUUAGCUUCUGCGAAGCUACGAAUCGAAGCCCCAGUAAACGGCGGCCGUAACUAUAACGGUCCUAAGGUAGCGAAAUUCCUUGUCGGGUAAGUUCCGACCCGCACGAAAGGCGUAACGAUUUGGGCACUGUCUCAACGAGAGACUCGGUGAAAUCAUAGUACCUGUGAAGAUGCAGGUUACCCGCGACAGGACGGGAAGACCCCGUGGAGCUUUACUGUAGCCUGAUAUUGAAAUUCGGCACAGCUUGUACAGGAUAGGUAGGAGCCUUUGAAACGUGAGCGCUAGCUUACGUGGAGGCGCUGGUGGGAUACUACCCUAGCUGUGUUGGCUUUCUAACCCGCACCACUUAUCGUGGUGGGAGACAGUGUCAGGCGGGCAGUUUGACUGGGGCGGUCGCCUCCUAAAAGG